rnacentral:rRNA from 1 species
UAAUACAGAGAGUGCGAACGUUGUUCGGAAUUACUGGGCUUAAAGAGUACGUAGGCGGCAUGACAAGUGUUAGGUGAAAUCCCACGGCUUACCCGUGGAACUGCCUAGCAAACUGUCGAGCUAGAGUGUGGUAGGGGAGAACAGAACUCAUGGUGGAGCGGUGAAAUGCGUAGAUAUCAUGAGGAAUACCGGUGGCGAAGGCGGUUCUCUGGUCCACAACUGACGCUGAGGUACGAAAGCUAGGGUAGCGAACGGGAUUAGAUACCCCGGUAGUCCUAGCCGUAAACGAUGGGCACUAGCUUGGGGCCUCCCUGUGUGGUUCCAGGUGAAGCAAAAGUAAUAAGUGCCCCGCCUGGGGAGUAUGGUCGCAAGGCUG